AGAUUGAACGCUGGCGGCAUGCCUAACACAUGCAAGUCGAACGGGAGUAGCAAUACUCUAGUGGCGGACGGGUGAGGAAUACGUAGGAAUUUGCCCUUAAGUGGGGGAUAACCCGGGGAAACCCGGAUUAAUACCGCAUGACCUCGAAAGAGCAAAGUGGGGGAUCGCAAGACCUCACGCUUUUGGAGAAGCCUACGUCGGAUUAGCUAGUUGGUGAGGUAAUGGCUCACCAAGGCGACGAUCCGUAACUGGUCUGAGAGGAUGAUCAGUCACACCGGAACUGAGACACGGUCCGGACUCCGUACGGGAGGCAGGCAGUGGGGGAACUAGUUGGACAAGUGGGACGCGAAGCCUGAUCCAGCAAUGCCGCGUGUGUGAAGAAGGCCUUCGGGUUGUAAAGGCACGUUUAAGGUUAGGUAAGUAAAAACGUACGACCCGUUAACACGUAAGU
rnacentral:rRNA from 1 species